GACAGAGGAUGCAAGCGUUAUCCGGAAUUACUGGGCGUAAAGCGCACGUAGGCGGCUUUACAAGUCAGGGGUGAAAGCCCGCGGCUCAACCGCGGAAUUGCCCUUGAGACUGUAUCGCUUGAACACGGGAGAGGUGAGUGGAAUUCCGAGUGUAGAGGUGAAAUUCGUAGAUAUUCGGAAGAACACCAGUGGCGAAGGCGGCUCACUGGACCGUUGUUGACGCUGAGGUGCGAAAGCGUGGGGAGCAAACAGG
rnacentral:rRNA from 1 species